rnacentral:sRNA from 1 species
UCGAUUUGGUGUGACGUGUUUGUUUCAGCAGGGAAGGACUGCAAGGAGCACCCCAACGUCAAGCAGGUAUCUUGGUGACGUGUUUGUGUUCCUCUGCUGCGUUGCCUGCUACAAUGUGUGUUCUGAUUUGGUUGAUUUGGUGGUGACAAGUUCAAGUCCAUGCCUGAUGCUGUGAGUUCCUCACUUCCUGUGCCCAUGUUCCAAACCGUUACAUAUGCAUUUCUCACUUGAUGUCCUAUUGUUUGAAACUUGCUGCCUUUUAGAACCUCCUUAGUUGUCUCAAUGCUUUUACUUUUAUUACUGCCAUGUUAAUGAUCUUGUGGCUGAGUCCUUCUGUUUUCAUGGAGUGCAUUGCAUUAAAAAAGAUCCCGUAGAUUUUUCUUCAUUUGUUAAUUAUAUUGCCAAAACGUGCCUUGCACGCGCACGAUAACAUAGUCAGCUUAGUAGAAAGACUGCAUUUUUUUCAAUAUUUGCAAUCUGGUUUAUUUUGAGACAUGGUUUGGGCUUGAUUAUUAUCUCAUUCUUUUGCUGUACUGAAAUUGGUUUUGGAUUUAAUUGUGGACUAUGUCUGUGUCACUACAACAUCAGGUAUUGGUUAUAAUUCAGCUAGAGGAAAGUAGAGUACUUUGAAGUGUUUGAAUGGUUUUCACAUGUAUACUCUGCUAGCUACCCUUUAGUAAGUAUAUUCAUGUAAAGGGGAGUAAUAGAUCAUUGCACUAAUGUUCAAACUCUAUUGAGAUUGUCCCAGGUGUCACUUUGUUCACUGAAAAAAAAAGAGAACAUUUAUAGGUUUUUUUUGCUGCUUGGGAGAGGAUGCUGCCGAAUUGAAUUAAGACAGCCUUCAGAAUCUGGUAUAUCUAAUGGUCUGUAAAAUUUUACACAAGCAACAGGAGGGACCAUCAAGGGAAUGUUUCACAUGUGAUGGAUUUUGUAUAGAAAAAGGAGAUUCAUUGUUUGCUGAAGGUGUAUUGAAAGUUGCUUGCCGAUAAAUAAAGACCCCAUGGAUAGAUGCAAUGAUGCAUUAAGCUCUUGAAGGAGGAUUAACGGAAAACUAUGUCGAGUUUUUAGUAGCCUUGUUUGGGCUAACGACACUCGGUUUAUUGUUCUAGAUCUCUGACCUAAGAAUCCUGUUUUAGUUUUUUUUAGAUCUCUUGCUUUGGGUGUUGUUUGCUCUAGGUGUUCUGUUGUCCGCAGUUUCAGGUGCUUUGUAGUGUAGUUUAGUUUGGGGGUGUUCUCAAGGUGUUGUACAGUGAAUUGGUUUCGGUGCUUGCCCUUUGUUGCGUUGGUGUUGUUUAUGUUCUCUAUAUCGAUGAAAGAUGUUAAAGCUUUUGCCUUUGUUUCGAAAAAGAUUGAAACCACAU